CAAAUCUCAGCAAGCCGUGGAGAGAACAACAUAAACAAAACAAAUAAUCGAAUAAAAAAAACUCGUUCCAGUUAGUUCCAAGUUCAGCACGUGAAGGAAUGGCGCUUACAGCUGCAGGAGCCGAGCAGUGAACAGUGCUCGAUCCGGAUGUUUCGCACGAAACUGCACGCAGAAAAAUGUUUUGUAGAAUCAGUCUGUACGAGGUUUGAUUCAACAAAAUAUUUUGUUGAAUAUAAU